CUCCGCUGGCUGUGGACCACGGGCUGCGCGGGGCGGUCGGCGUCCCCUCCUCCUCCGCUCGGGAGCCCCAGGCCAGAGGACGCUCGCCUGGGGAGGGCUGCCGGCGGAGACCUAGCCCUGCGACCCCGCCAGGUCUGCGGGCGCGGAGGGCUCCGUGUCCCUGGGUGGGAAGCGAGGGCAGCUUGCGCGGCGCUGGACCCCAGGCUCCUCCUCCCAAGGGCGGUUCGGGCCCCGCUGACGCAGCGGAACACCCUCACACUCCCUCAUUGGCUUCCAGGGCUGGUCCCCGGCUCCCUUUCGGCCUCCCGGGGGCUGCCUCGCGGGCUCCUCUCCGUGACGCCGCAGUCACCCACUCAGACACCUUGCAACUACAGUAGUGCCUGCAGGAACCCUAGACCACGUGGUGACAGGCCGCCCAGCGGUGUCAGCGUUGACCGUGCGGCGCAGGGAGGGGGGCGGAGGCAGCGCGGUUGGCAGGAAAGCCUCCGGAGAAGAGUGGCCUCUCCUGCGUCCUGAGCAGAGGCGCGCAAUUGCGAGGAAGCCCUGGGCCUGGGGCCCCACGGGCCGAGCGGGUCUGUCUACACUGCUGAAGUCUGAAUGUCUUGGCAUGUAUAAGAAGGAAAGGACUUAUCACGGGGAGCUGGACAGAAGGGAGUUUGGAUCCUGGCUUACACCCGGCUGUGAUAUGGACAACCUGCUUCCCCUCCGCUAGCUUCACUUCCCGCUGCCUUGUACGACCCGCAAGAACUGGAAACCGCAGUGCUCUGAUAACAGGGACCAAUUACUAAGCCGGCUUUAUUUAUCUUGGUUCCUCAAGGGCCCCCCUCCCACACUGGCAGGGUCAAAGCUCAGGUGUUAAAGAUCACAGUACAGGGAAGCUUGCCAUUCCUGAUGUUGGGGUCUCCUCCAUGUGGAGGUCCCCCACGGCCCCCGUGCUGCCUGGGGUGAAGGAUGGAAAUGCAGCAGGAGCCCUGGACUGGGUGCUUGGAGCCUGGGGAUCCUGGGAUGGCUCCGCCACUGGCACUCUGGGCCUCUCUGGGGGGUCCCUCUGAGGCUGCAUUUUCGUCCUCACUAAAAUAAAGAAAUAUUGUGAUCUUGUACUAAUACACCUCAA